rnacentral:lncRNA from 1 species
GAGGGGUGGGGUGAGCCCUCCUGUGGUCUGUACCUCCACCCCUGGUCUAGCGGGAGGAAUCCCUGAAGACCUGCAUCACCUAAGUGAGGACCCUACAGGGUACCUUAUGCUCUGCUCCCAGACCCUGACUUAACAUUGGGCCAACAACAAUCCUCAUCCCCCAAAGUCAUCUACAGAUGGCAGGUGGAAGAGGAAGGUUCUCCAUUCCACACCCACUACCAGUGUGCAUGGGGAGGGAAUGGGGAUGGACUAGGUCAAUCCAGGGACACUAGAGAGGCUACGGCUCUAGCCCUAUUACCCAGCCAUGAAGCCACCCAAGUAGUGGAGCCAGGACAUAAGUUAUUGUUCACAUUAAAGAAUCAUGUUCCCUGUGUACAUUUUAAGCAAAGAAAAGUCUUGGGAUUGUAUGGGAAUAAAACUUGUUUGAAAAAAAAAAAGAAA